GGGCCCGUAGCUCAAUGGCAGAGCAACUGACUCUUAAUCAGUAGGUUCUCAGUUCGACCCUGAGCGGGCUCA
rnacentral:tRNA from 1 species